UUGAGAUGAAAAUGAGUCGGG
rnacentral:piRNA from 1 species